rnacentral:rRNA from 1 species
AGAGUUUGAUCCUGGCUCAGGAUGAACGCUAGCUACAGGCUUAACACAUGCAAGUCGAGGGGCAGCAUUUUAGUUUGCUUGCAAACUGAAGAUGACGACCGGCGCACGGGUGAGUAACACGUAUCCAACCGUACCGAUAACUCCGGUAAUAGCCUUUCGAAAGAAAGAUUAAUACCGGAUAGCAUACGAAUAUCGCAUGAUAUUUUAUUAAAGAAUUUCGGUUAUCGAUGGGGAUGCGUUCCAUUAGUUUGUUGGG